rnacentral:lncRNA from 1 species
GAGGGGAGGAGUAUGUCAGUGUUUGUCCAUCAGCACAUCCUAGCUGACAGCCGUCGGCCUGUCUGUCAGCAGGCUGGGAAAUGUCCUGACAUCUCGUUGGAAAUAUCCACUGGUUUCAAGCUAAAAAAUGUCGAAACACUGUCUUGAACAGUGGUCUCCGGCUCGGCAGCUUUCAGCUGUCACACCACUUCCUGCCCCGCAACCAUCUCCUCUCCUCCUCCUACCUGCCAAUACGAAAUCUUUAGUGAACCAUGGAGUCAUAUGGUUGCUUCCUUUCCGCUCAGUGGCUAGUGGCCCGGACACUGUCACCAAUACCGAGGGCCACCGCCAGACCCAGGAGAGCCUCCCAAGGUUCACUGCACAAAUCCCCUUCUGCGCCAACCAGUCCGUUAAUACACACCAACUAUCUGCCCUGCUGCUCUCUGUGUGGUCCUCAUCUGUGCUUUGACAAAGAGAAAGAGGAAACGCCAAGCUGCACUCCCUCACCGUUUCCUUGCAUCCAACUCCUGAGAGGGAAAUGAAAGCUGGUUGUGGAGAUGCAGUCAACAAGGUGGUAGGAAUUUUAAUGACCGGCUUUCUGCUGCCUUUUCCUCUCCCGUCGUUUUGGC